rnacentral:siRNA from 1 species
CCACGCGACGUGCGGUGCUCU